AGAGUUUGAUCCUGGCUCAGAUUGAACGCUGGCGGCAGGCCUAACACAUGCAAGUCGAGCGGUAACACAGAGGAGCUUGCUCCUUGGGUGACGAGCGGCGGACGGGUGAGUAAUGCCUGGGGAUCUGCCCGAUAGAGGGGGAUAACUACGGGAAACUGUAGCUAAUACCGCAUAAUGUCUACGGACCAAAGUGGGGGCUCUUCGGACCUCAUGCUAUCGGAUGAACCCAGGUGGGAUUAGCUAGUUGGUGAGGUAAUGGCUCACCAAGGCGACGAUCUCUAACUGGUUUGAGAGAAUGACCAGUCACACUGGAACUGAGACACGGUCCAGACUCCUACGGGAGGCAGCAGUGGGGAAUAUUGCACAAUGGGCGCAAGCCUGAUGCAGCCAUGCCGCGUGUGUGAAGAAGGCCUUCGGGUUGUAAAGCACUUUCAGCGGGGAGGAAGGGUCACUAGUUAAUACCUAGUGGCAUUGACGUUACUCGCAGAAGAAGCACCGGCUAACUCCGUGCCAGCAGCCGCGGUAAUACGGAGGGUGCAAGCGUUAAUCGGAAUUACUGGGCGUAAAGCGCACGCAGGCGGUUUGUUAAGUCAGAUGUGAAAUCCCCGAGCUCAACUUGGGAACUGCAUUUGAAACUGGCAAGCUAGAGUCUUGUAGAGGGGGGUAGAAUUCCAGGUGUAGCGGUGAAAUGCGUAGAGGUAAGGAGGAAUACCGGUGGCGAAGGCGGCCCCCUGGACAAAGACUGACGCUCAGGUGCGAAAGCGUGGGGAGCAAAAAGGAUUAGAUACCCUGGUAGUCCACGCU
rnacentral:rRNA from 1 species